AUGACGGUGACACCGCAGAUCACGGUGAGCGACGGGAGGCUGGCGGUGCGCGGCCGGACGGUGCUCUCCGGCGUGCCGGACAACGUUACCGCGGCGCACGCUUCCGGGGCCGGGCUCGUCGACGGGGCCUUCGUCGGCGCCACGGCCGGCGAGGCCAAGAGCCACCACGUCUUCACCUUCGGGACUCUCCGCGACUGCCGAUUCAUGUGCCUGUUCCGGUUCAAGCUGUGGUGGAUGACGCAGCGGAUGGGCACCUCCGGCCGCGACGUCCCGCUGGAGACCCAAUUCAUCCUCAUCGAGGUCCCUGCCGCCGCCGGCAACGACGACGGCGACAGCGAGCCGGUGUACCUGGUGAUGCUGCCGCUGCUGGAGGGGCAGUUCCGAACGGUGCUCCAGGGCAACGACCAAGACCAGCUCCAGAUCUGCAUCGAGAGCGGGGACAAAGCGGUGCAGACGGAGCAGGGCAUGAACAGCGUGUACAUCCACGCCGGCACCAACCCCUUCGACACCAUCACCCAGGCCGUCAAGGCCGUUGAGAAGCACAUGCAGACGUUCCACCACAGGGAGAAGAAAAAGGUGCCGUCGUUUGUGGACUGGUUCGGGUGGUGCACGUGGGACGCCUUCUACACGGACGUGACGGCCGACGGCGUCAAGCAGGGGCUCCGCAGCCUGGCGGAGGGUGGCGCGCCGCCGCGGUUCCUCAUCAUUGACGACGGCUGGCAGCAGAUCGGCAGCGAGAACAAGGAAGACCCGAGCGUCGCCGUCCAGGAAGGGGCGCAGUUCGCGAGCAGGCUCACCGGCAUCAAGGAGAACACCAAGUUCCAGAGCGAGCAGCAGGAGGAGACCCCGGGGCUGAAGCGGCUGGUGGAGGAGACCAAGAAGGAGCACGGCGUCAAGAGCGUCUACGUCUGGCACGCCAUGGCCGGCUACUGGGGCGGCGUCAAGCCGUCGGCGGCCGGGAUGGAGCACUACGAGUCCGCGCUGGCCUACCCGGUGCAGUCGCCGGGCGUCACCGGCAACCAGCCCGACAUCGUCAUGGACUCGCUCUCCGUGCUCGGCCUCGGCCUCGUGCACCCGCGCAAGGUCUACAGCUUCUACGACGAGCUCCACGCCUACCUGGCCGCCUGCGGCGUCGACGGCGUCAAGGUGGACGUGCAGAACAUCGUGGAGACCCUCGGCGCCGGCCACGGCGGCCGCGUCGCGCUCACACGCGCCUACCACCGCGCGCUCGAGGCCUCCGUCGCCCGCAACUUCCCCGACAACGGAUGCAUCUCCUGCAUGUGCCACAACACCGACAUGCUCUACAGCGCCAAGCAGACCGCCGUCGUGCGCGCCUCCGACGACUUCUACCCGCGCGACCCGGCGUCGCACACCGUCCACAUCUCCUCCGUCGCUUACAACACGCUCUUCCUCGGCGAGUUCAUGCAGCCCGACUGGGACAUGUUCCAUAGCCUGCACCCGGCGGCGGAGUACCACGGCGCGGCGAGGGCCAUCGGCGGCUGCCCCAUUUAUGUCAGCGACAAGCCAGGGAACCACAACUUCGACCUUCUCAAGAAGCUGGUGCUCCCCGACGGCUCCGUGCUCCGCGCACAGCUCCCCGGCAGGCCCACGCGCGACUGCCUCUUCUCCGACCCGGCGCGCGACGGUGCCAGGUGCUCACCAUCAUCCUUCAAAGGAAUCCUCCCUCUCUCUGACGUGAAUGAAACUCUCCCAGAUUCCAUCUCAGUGCUGAUAUGUGAUCCCUUGCUUUUCUCUCUCAGCUUGCUCAAGAUAUGGAACAUGAACAAGUGCGCCGGCGUGGUGGGGGUGUUCAACUGCCAGGGCGCGGGGUGGUGUCGCGUCGUCAAAAAGACAAGGAUCCACGACGAGGCGCCCGGGACGCUCACCGGCUCGGUGCGCGCCGAGGACGUGGAGGGCAUCACCCAGGCCACCGGCACCGACGACUGCACCGGCGACGCCGUGGUGUACACGCACCGGGCGGGGGAGCUCGUGCGGCUGCCCCGGGGCGCCACCCUGCCGGUGACGCUCAAGAGGCUCGAAUACGAGCUGUUCCACGUGUGCCCCGUCCGCGCCGUGGCGCCGGACAUCUCGUUCGCGCCCAUCGGGUUGCUCCACAUGUUCAAUGCCGGCGGUGCCGUCGAGGAGUGCGUCGUCAGGACGAACGAGGACGACAAGGCCGUUGUGGCGCUCAGGGUGCGCGGCUGCGGCCGGUUCGGCGCCUACUGCUCGCGGAGGCCGGCGAAAUGCUCCCUCGACUCGGCUGACGUGGAGUUCGGCUACGACGCCGACACGGGGCUCGUCACGGUCGACGUGCCGGUCCCGGAGGAGGAGAUGUACCGGUGGACGCUGGAGAUUCGGGUCUAG
rnacentral:rRNA from 1 species